AUUGAACGCUGGCGGCAUGCCUUACACAUGCAAGUCGAACGGUAACAGGUUAAGCUGACGAGUGGCGAACGGGUGAGUAAUGUAUCGGAACGUGCCCAGUCGUGGGGGAUAACUACUCGAAAGAGUGGCUAAUACCGCAUACGACCUGAGGGUGAAAGCGGGGGACCGUAAGGCCUCGCGCGAUUGGAGCGGCCGAUAUCAGAUUAGCUAGUUGGUGGGGUAAAAGCCCACCAAGGCGACGAUCUGUAGCUGGUCUGAGAGGACGACCAGCCACACUGGGACUGAGACACGGCCCAGACUCCUACGGGAGGCAGCAGUGGGGAAUUUUGGACAAUGGACGCAAGUCCGAUCCAGCCAUGCCGCGUGCGGGAAGAAGGCCUUCGGGUUGUAAACCGCUUUUGUCAGGGAAGAAACGAGUUUCUCUAAUACAGAGACUUAAUGACGGUACCUGAAGAAUAAGCACCGGCUAACUACGUGCCAGCCGCCGCAGUAAAAC
rnacentral:rRNA from 1 species